AUCGCUUCUCAGCCUUUUGCCUAAGAUCAAGUUUAGUAUCUGUUCUUAACAGUUUAAUAUCGGAUAUGUCCUCUAUCCAAGGACAGUUACUAAAUGGAUUUUUGGAGUUAGGAGAUGGAAUAGGAGCUUGCUCUGUCCAUUCCACACAUUGGCCUGGUAUUGCAGUACCUCUAGGAACGGUGCAUCAAAA